CCUACGGGAGGCAGCAGUAGGGAAUCUUCCACAAUGGACGCAAGUCUGAUGAAGCAACGCCGCGUGAGUGAAGAAGGUUUUCGGAUCGUAAAGCUCUGUUGUUGGUGAAGAAGGAUAGAGGUAGUAACUGGCCUUUAUUUGACGGUAAUCAACCAGAAAGUCACGGCUAACUACGUGCCAGCAGCCGCGGUAAU
rnacentral:rRNA from 1 species